AGUAAUGUAUGGGGAUCUGCCUGAUGGCGGGGGAUAACUACUGGAAACGGUAGCUAAUACCGCAUAAUGUCUACGGACCAAAGCGGGGGACCUCCGGGCCUCGCGCCAUCAGAUGAACCCAGAUGGGAUUAGCUAGUAGGUGGGGUAAUGGCUCACCUAGGCGACGAUCCCUAGCUGGUCUGAGAGGAUGACCAGCCACACUGGAACUGAGACACGGUCCAG
rnacentral:rRNA from 1 species